rnacentral:rRNA from 1 species
GAUGAACGCUAGCGGCAGGCCUAAUACAUGCAAGUCGAACGGUGUCUUCGGACAUAGUGGCGCACGGGUGCGUAACACGUAUGCAACUUACCUCACAUUUGGGGAUAGCGUUCCGAAAGGGAGAUUAAUACCGCAUAAGACAGUAACUAGGCAUCUAGUAGCUGUUAAAGAUUUAUCGAUGUAAGCUGGGCAUGCGUCCAAUUAGCUAGUUGGUGAGGUAACGGCUCACCAAGGCAAUGAUUGGUAGGGGAACUGAGAGGUCAAACCCCCACUCUGGCAAGGGGAUACGGGACAGACUCCUACGGGAGGCAGCGGUAGGGAGUAUUGGGCAAUGGACACAAGUCUGACCCAGCCAUGCCGCGUGCAGGAUGAAGGCGUUAUGCGUUGUAAACUGCUUUUAUACAGGAAGAAACGACUCUUGCGAGCGGCAUUGACGGUACUGGAAGAAUAAGCACCGGCUAACACCGUGCCAGCCGCCGCCGUAAGAC